UUGCUUGAUCAUUUGGAUAUAUGUGUGGAUCUCUAAACCAGGAAUAUCUAAAGCGACAGGAGUAUGUUUUAGUAGCGUUUUACCGAGUAAAUUCUCAGGUUUAAUCCUAAAGGGAUUUAUGUUUUUCAUGGGUGUUGAACUGUGUGUGCAUGGGAGAUUCUAUGAAUUUUGCUGAGCAUAAAAAUGUAUUGUAGUGGUUUUUGCCUUUUUGGUAUGGCAACUGGAUGUUUUGAGCUUGAUUUUUGCUAUGUGUUGGAUACAUGUCUGUUGUAUUCAAUUGUAACAAAGGCUGCAGUCUGUUGGUAGUACAUGACACAAUAUUCUUGAUUGGAUUGUAUAAUUUCUAAGUAUAUACCAAUGUAAUUUUAAGGAAUUACUGUGUGAGAUCUGAAAAAUGCCAAAUCUGUUCUGAAAGUAAUUUCUUAAUCUGUGGUGGACUCCUUGCUUUGAUUGAUUGGAUGGGAUUGCACAAAAGAUCCCUGCAUCACAACGGACACGGCUUUGCUAUUGUAGUUCAUAUGUCAAUGUCUGAAACCCUUUCUCUUUUAGACACUUGAGCUCUAUUGCUCCCCGUUCCUCCAAAUAUUUAGACAUUUGGAUAAAGAAUAGCCUAAUCUACUGUUCUUGACAGUUUCUGUCUUCUCAUCUGGACCUCAUAAUAUCAUUACUUUGUUUCGGGGUCCAUUUUCACUUGCAAUCAUAUACAGGUAAGAUGUUUUUAGAUCAUAAAUUUUCCCUUUACUUUCCCUGCUGAAGAGUGUUAAGAUUUAUCUGCUACCCCCAAAAAAAGGUGCUGAAUGAAAGAGAUUGUAUCACCGUUAGCAUGUUGGGCCGUGAUGCUUGUUUUAAUUAUCUAUAUAACUUUUUCUGGUUGCUGACUAUAUUUAUAUUGUGAUGAUAAAAUGUAACAGGUCACUUGGCACUUUGAGGCGUUGCUGGGAGGAUGGGACAUUCCAAUGAAUACCUUAAAAGGUUCUUUAGGGUUCUGGAUUACGGAGUAAUUUAUUAAAUUCUACCAAGUACACGUCUUUGGUUUUGUAAAGUGCAGUCAGGUGGACAAUUACCCAAUUGAUUAUACUCUUAGCAUGAACCUGUCAACUUUAUUGUCAAAGCCAGCGAAGACUCCUGUUGCUGUGAUCAUUCCUGCAUCCAAGUUUGGGGGAAACGAAACAAUUGCUUUCAGCAUCCAAAGAUAAUAGUGAGUCAGUGACAGUAACACCUAGACCGAGGUUGAAACAACGAAGAAUUCCACUGUGAUUGCAAUGUAACGACAAGUAUUAUGUCUUACAAGUUAUGGACACUACGCGGACUACAAAAAGAGAUAGCCUCCCUGCCUGCCUAUUUGGGAAAGGUAUGCAUCUUUUACUAUUGCAUUUGCAUGCCUUGACAUUUGCUUCAUUGCUUGAUUCUAUUCAAGUAUUCAAACUAGACCAACAUUCUCAAUUCAACCCAAACUAGUACACUUACUCCAGUACCAAGUACGAGUACCAGUAUUUUUUUAAUUAUUUUUUAAUUAAUACUUUGUACAUUAUUGCAUCAUAUAAAUGCGCCCUACCAUUUGUACCAAGCAAAGUUUGGCCUAGUGAAAAUGAUUACACCUUUCAACCUUAAGAUUGGGGGUUCAAUUCACUAUUGCACUUUCUCCACUCCUCGUAAAGUUUCUACCGAAUUAACCCCAGACGGGUUAACUCGAUAGGGGUUCGUCUUACCUUUAAAAUAAAAAAAUGUGCCACCAUUUUGUAGGUUUCAUCUUGUUGUAUCCCUUGAAGUGUUGAUUUUGCUAAAUUUGGUGUAAGCCCUAAGAAGAAUAUACAAGUAAUAUACGAAAGAUGUAAUUUUUGGACCUAAUAUAGUACUUCUUAGAUAGAAAAACCGUUUUCCAUAUGAAACAUGGUUUUUUAUUUUUGGAGAUGAGUAGAACAAGGUAAACUAUAGCAUGAAGAACGAAGAAUGAAGCAUCCGCUCUUCAGGGUACCUCCUACUCUGGACUCUGGAGUUUCCAUGCAUGUGUUCCAGCGUUAUAGGAACUUCAGUAUGACAAUUUGACAAUGUCAACCCAAAAGAUGAAAAAAAACCCAUUGAAAGACAAGUUGUCAUUUGAGUUUUGAGACAAUGGUAAGAGAAGAAUUGAUAAUGUCAAAAAUAAAAAAUAAAAUAAAAAUGAUGUACAGUAUGUAUUUCUCUGUUUUUGGACUAGUAUUGCAAUUUGCAACGUGUAUGCUUCUCCAAAACUCCAAUGUCACUAUUAAAAUGUGAGUACCAAAUUGGUUAAGUACUAAGUAGGCAAGUAGCCUUGAUUGACAACAUCUUCCUUUUUCUUUGGAUUUUGGUCUCAAACAUUUUAUUGCUCUCUUUCUUUGUACACUACUCCGUAUUAACUUAUCUACUCCAUUACACCCAAAAAAAAAAAAAAAAAAAAACUUAUCUACUCCAUCUGUUUUUUAAUAUUAUUCUAUUUUAAAAUCUUGACACUAUUCAUAAUUGGAGAGAAUCUUCUAAUUUUUUCCAAUACAUACUUCAAAACAUAUUAAUGUGAGAUUUUAUUUUGUUCGUCUUAAUGUGUAGUUUAAUAAUAUCAAAUUUUUAUAUUUUUCUAACAUACGUAUUUGGAGAUAUUUAUGUUUAAAUAUUGAGUUGAAAAGUCAAAACAGGACUAACAUUUAAGAACGGAGGGAGUAUUUUAUUUUAUUAUUAAUCAAUUUACACUUGUACUAUAAUUAGUUUUUACCAUCUUAGCCGUUAAAAUUUUAUCUUAUUUUGUGCGUAUUUCCUCUUAGACCGUCUGAUGGGAGCGGUUUCAGACUUACUCCAAUUUUUUUUUUUUAAUACAUAACUAAAAUAGUAGAAGCAUAACUAAUUCAAGAAC